CCUUAAUACUCAAAAGAGUAAAUGAAUUAAAAAUGUAUAAACAUUCUCAAUUUCUUUGCAAAACGAAAAUGCAGCAGCUGCAUAAUACUCUGGUUAAAGCGGAGAGUGCAGGAAGAGUCUAUACCGGUUUCGGAGAUCAUUUUCCCCUCAUCAGUAAACCCAUAUCCUCUUCUCUCCGCUUUAACCAUUUACCACAGCUUAGGGCCUUCCCGAAUUGCAAAGAAAGAAAUGUCACGGAUGAACUAGGGCCAUCUACCGGAAAACAAACUAAGUUAUCAAUCGAAGCAGCGCAGAAAACGACAAUAAAUAUCGCCUCCGUACCACCAGAUUGACAACAGGUGGAAUACUUUCUUUGGUUACACCUCCUGAGACUUUUACAAUUUAUAAGUCAUACAGGUGCCGAGAAAAUUAAGAUGAGAGAAUUUUAAAUAAUUCACAACUCAUCUACUCAGCAUGGUAAAGCUCCAACAAGAAAGAUUCCUUAAUACUCAAAAGAGUAAAUGAAUUAAAAAUGUAUAAACAUUCUCAAUUUCUUUGCAAAACGAAAAUGCAGCAGCUGCAUAAUACUCUGGUUAAAGCGGAGAGUGCAGGAAGAGUCUAUACCGGUUUCGGAGAUCUUUUUCCCCUCAUCAGUAAACCCAUAUCCUCUUCUCUCCGCUUUAACCAUUUACCACAGCUUAGGGCCUUCCCGAAUUGCAAAGAAAGAAAUGUCACGGAUGAACUAGGGCCAUCUACCGGAAAACAAACUAAGUUAUCAAUCGAAGCAGCGCAGAAAACGACAAUAAAUAUCGCCUCCGUACCACCAGAUUGACAACAGGUGGAAUACUUUCUUUGGUUACACCUCCUGAGACUUUUACAAUUUAUAAGUCAUACAGGUGCCGAGAAAAUUAAGAUGAGAGAAUUUUAAAUAAUUCACAACUCAUCUACUCAGCAUGGUAAAGCUCCAACAAGAAAGAUUCCU
rnacentral:lncRNA from 1 species